UGUCCUUAGUCUAGGUUAGACUAGUAUUGCCUUAGACUUAUGACCCGUGUGGGCUGGAUAACCUUGACUUUCUGCCGACGUCGUUCGGAUGACUUAGCUCCUUGUAGACUGGAAUAGCAGACUUGAGUCUGAUAGUUUGAGCCUUAGAUUAGGCGUUAUCGCUACUUGCUGCACUUCUGUAUCUUCUCCCUCUAGUCCCAACUCGUUCUCGAAGGUUUGGUGCAUCACUAAAGGUGUGUGAUUGAGAUAGUAUAGCCUUGGAGCCUUUUCUAUGAUUUCUUAGAGUGGACGGCGUUCCACGGUGGUUGUUGUGGGAUUGGAUCCUAUUGGAGAUACCAUCACCCCCGG
rnacentral:lncRNA from 1 species